rnacentral:rRNA from 1 species
CCUACGGGAGGCAGCAGUGAGGAAUAUUGGUCAAUGGACGAGAGUCUGAACCAGCCAAGUAGCGUGAAGGAUGACUGCCCUAUGGGUUGUAAACUUCUUUUAUAUGGGAAUAAAGUGUUCCACGUGUGGGAUUUUGUAUGUACCAUAUGAAUAAGGAUCGGCUAACUCCGUGCCAGCAGCCGCGGUAAUACGGAGGAUCCGAGCGUUAUCCGGAUUUAUUGGGUUUAAAGGGAGCGUAGGUGGAUUUUUAAGUCAGUUGUGAAAGUUUGCGGAUGAACCGUAAAAUUGCAGUUGAAACUGGGAGUCUUGAGGACAGUAGAGGUGGGAGGAAUUCGUGGUGUAGCGGUGAAAUGCUUAGAUAUCACGAAGAACUCCGAUUGCGAAGGCAGCUCACUGGACUGCAACUGACACGGAGGCUCGAAAGUGUGGGUAUCAAACAGGAUUAGAUACCCGGGUAGUC